GCUUGGCUGGCUCAGUGGGAAGAGCAUGUGGCUCUUAAUCUCGGGGUUGUGAGUGUGAGCCCCACGUUGGGCG
rnacentral:tRNA from 1 species